UGGGGAUGACCGUUUAUGUUUUUAAUCGCACAUAUAUUUCUUAUGAAGUUCUUAUAUUAGUAGAUAUAUAUAGUAGAUCUUUAAGAAACUGUCAUACUGUGAAAAUGUUCUGAGGUUGAUUAUCACUUUUAUGAGGACAUGAAACGUUUUAUGCAUAACAUAAGGGAGCUCAACAAUUAAAUGAUUGUAAUCAGAAGUAAAUCUCAAUAAAUGUGACUCAAAAUCAUUUUAGAUGGUACAUUUUAAAGCACACAGUAAACUGGACAAAAACAUGCUGUUCUGAGCUCCAUCAGAAGGGGGCAACAUUAUCUCACAAGCUGUUUUAUUCACACUAAAUAAGCACCUGACCUCUAUAAGAAACAGCUGAAAGCACAGAACAUGUUUCAUAUUUCAUUAACCCACACACACAUUAUUCACACACAACAGAAGUUCACUCAGUCUCAGUGCUUUCAUUCAACCAUCAGCUACUCUCAUAUUUUUAUUCAUUUUAUAAAACCACAUUCAGCAUAGUUGAGUUAAUAAUGAUUAUAUAAUGAAUCAAUUUAAUAAGUACUAGAAAUUAAAAAUCUUAUCUUUAUAGUGGACAUCAGUUAAGAUGGAGGAGAGGCAGAUGAUACUCAUAAUGAUCAUCACAGUUUCAGGCAUUUAUGCUGAUAGAAUUGGACCAAGAGAAGGAGACACUAAUAUAAUCAGAGAAGAAGGAGAGUCUGUGACACUGAGCUGCACGUAUGAAACAACCAGCGAUAAUAUUUGGCUCUACUGGUACAGACAAUAUCUAAACAGAGAACCAGAAUAUAUACUGUAUAAAGGCGCUCGAUCAUGGAGCAGUUAUAAGGAUAUACCAGAUGGGUUUCAGUCAACUACAUCCCAGACAUCCACUGAACUUACUAUUGUAAAAGCAGCUCUGUCAGAUUCUGCUCUUUAUUAUUGUGCACUUCGAGUAGCCCAGUGAUACAAAAUACCAGAGAAGCUUUACAAAAACUCACAUGAAAUUAAUGCUUUGAAGAGUCUUUAAUCAAUCAGUAUCAAAACACAUCAUGUUUUAUAAACCACAAACAGUGAAUGUGGUAACAGCUGUGAAUUUGGGAAG
rnacentral:lncRNA from 1 species